rnacentral:lncRNA from 1 species
ACCUGUGUCACUGUGCGGGGAGGGCAGGGUCUCGCCAGCAGCCGGUGGCACAUGCGGGCGGCACGGGGGCUGCGUGGUGGCCUCUGUGAUGUCACCUGGCAGAGGUGCCUGAGCUGGGCCCGGCGUGGAGGGCAUAGGCCUCACUCUCUGACUGCCUGACAGUCCCUACAGUGAGCGGGACCCCCUUAUUAAGGCUGUGGGGCAGAGUGGGGUGACAGGUGUUGAGGGGUGGGGCCCAGCCCCGGGCACCCGCAUGUUCCUCUCUGCCCCUGGGAGAAGUGUUGAGAGACGGAGCUCGGGAUCAGCUGGCAUAUCCACCAUGUUCCAGGGUCGACCAGGGAGCACAGAGCCCUGAACAUCCCUUCAACAGCGCGCCACACGCUCCUGGCACAAACUCCAGACCACGGCACAGCACCCAGAUGGCUGCAGCCACGCAGAAACCCACAACUGCCAGGACCGUGGGGUGACAGCCACGGUGGGCUCUGCAGGCCCCUCUGGUCUAAGACACCAGGAGGCCACAUCCAGCAACCAAGGCCACCCGGCAGGACACGUCAGGAUGGAGGUGCAGUGAAGACUGCGGUGGACGCCUCCAGAGGUUCCCACUUGGCUUCCAGUGGAGCCUCUGCCAAACCCGGCCUGUGCAAGGGCAGAGACAAGGCCCAGCAGGGCUCGAGCAGGCCCAAACGCACGACGCAGCUGCUGUGCCUGGGUCUGAGCUGCACCCACAGUUUUCCUGGCGUCUUGUCCUCUGGAUGGGCCUCUGGAUGAACAUAAACUCCAGGGAAGCUGCAUAGAAUAUGCAGCUCUUCUUUAACGCUCCCUAGAGGAAGAAAGCCCCUCAGCCGGAAGUAUUGUUGACGUCGCCGCCACUACUAAUGAAAUAUUUACUGAAAAGCCAAAGCGAAACAUUUUUCUAGUUAAUUAAAACAGUGCAUCUUUCAAGCAAGCUCCCUCGAGGGGCCAGGCUCGGACGGACCCAGCGGGCAGGCAACCCGAGGUGCUCCUGAGUGGGGUCUCGACUGGGAAGGGGGCGCCCAGGACGCAGGUGGGGUUCCUGCCACACGACACUGAGGGGUGGGGGGACAGACGCUGCAGAGACCCUGCGAAAGGCCCCUCCCGAUGGGUAAACUCACACUUGGUACACGCUGGCAGGGGCAUCUGGGCCUGCACUCUGGAAUUGGUGGUGGUCCUGGGAAGGUUUUUUGGGCCAGGGACAAGAGUACUUGGGUUUGCUUUCUGGAAAAAUGAAAAAAGAGAAGUUUC